CAAAAAGGCGAUUGUCAUACUUCACAGCAAAGUCAAUUGCUUGACUCAAUGUUUGAGGAUCAAGUAAGUUGAACAUUAAUUUUUUUACCUCAUAUUGUAAUCCAUAGAGAAAUUGGCUAAUAAAUGCAGCAACAUCUCACUUCAUAUCAGUUACAAGUUGUCAAAAUUGUGAAGCAUACAACGUUAUUGAUUAAUUGCC
rnacentral:lncRNA from 1 species